GACGAACGCUGGCGGCGUGGAUUAGGCAUGCAAGUCGAACGGUAUCAUCCUUUCGGGGGUGAGAGAGUGGCGAACUGGUGAGUAACACGUAGGUUAUCUACCCUCAAGACGGGGACAACCCAGGGAAACUUGGGCUAAUACCGGAUGUGAGCAACUUUUUAGUUGUUUGAAAGGUGGCGUAAGCUGUCGCUUGGGGAUGAGCCUGCGUCCUAUUAGUUAGUUGGUGAGGUAACGGCUCACCUAGGCAAUGAUAGGUAGGCGGCCUUAACGGGUGGUCGCCCACACUGGGAUUGAGAUACGGCCCAGACUCCUACGGGAGGCAGCAGUCGAGAAUAGUCUACAAUGGUCGGAAGACUGAUAGUGCGACGCCGCGUGAACGAUGAAUCCCUUCGGGGUGUAAAGUUCUUUUAUAUGUGAGCAGUGCUUCUUAUAUUAACAGUAUGGGGAAGAGAUAUUAGCAUAUGAAUAAGCAACGGCUAACUCCGUGCCAGCAGCCGCGGUAAUCUCG
rnacentral:rRNA from 1 species